GACGAACGCUGGCGGCGUGCUUAACACAUGCAAGUCGAACGGUGAUGCUCCAGCUUGCUGGAGUGGAUCAGUGGCGAACGGGUGAGUAACACGUGAGCAACCUGCCCCAGACUCUGGAAUAAGCGCUGGAAACGGCGUCUAAUACUGGAUACGAAACUGGCCCGCAUGGGCAUGUUUGGAAAGUUUUUCGGUUUGGGAUGGGCUCGCGGCCUAUCAGCUUGUUGGUGAGGUAAUGGCUCACCAAGGCGACGACGGGUAGCCCGCCUGAGAGGGCGACCGGCCACACUGGGACUGAGACACGGCCCAGACUCCUACGGGAGGCAGCAGUGGGGAAUAUUGCACAAUGGGCGAAAGCCUGAUGCAGCGACGCCGCGUGAGGGAUGACGGCCUUCGGGUUGUAAACCUCUUUCAGCAGGGAAGAAGCGAAAGUGACGGUACCUGCAGAAGAAGCACCGGCUAACUACGUG
rnacentral:rRNA from 1 species